GGAUACUCCGCUGCACCACCAGCCGUACGGCACUGUGUGGAGACUGUCUGACUGUCGCCUCGGAAAGGUUUAUUUGUGGGGUUUUUUUUAAGCAAGUCUGCAUGGAAAUGUGUCACCAAUAGCCAGCUGUUUCCAAACAGUUCAGCAUUGCUGGGGUAUUUUUACUGGCUGCAGGCGGAGGGACUGAUCUUGGAAAGAAACUUCAUGUGAAGUCCCCAGCCCAUUUGCAGAUUCAUGUGCUGGUCAAUUUCUGGAUGAGAUUUCACCUUUCUCAGGUGGGUAAAGGUGAUCUCCUCCAUGAGGGCACAGAUCUGAGGUCCUAGUGAG
rnacentral:lncRNA from 1 species